GUCAGUUCUGGUCUGUACUGGUCAGUUCUGGUCUGUACUGGUCAGUUCUGGUCAGUUCUGGUCAGUUCUGGUCUGUACUGGUCAGUUCUGGUCAGUUCUGGUCUGUACUGGUCAGUUCUGGUCUGUACUGGUCAGUCCUGGUCAGUUCUGGUCAGUACUGGUCAGUUCUGGUCAGUUCUGGUCAGUUCUGGUCAGUUCUGGUCAGUUCUGGUCUGUACUGGUCUGUACUGGUCAGUUCUGGUCUGUACUGGUCAGUUCUGGUCUGUACUGGUCAGUUCUGGUCAGUUCUGGUCAGUUCUGGUCAGUUCUGGUCUGUACUGGGCUGUACUGGGCUGUACUGGGAUGUACUGGGAUGUACUGGGCUGUACUGGUCACUCAGGGUCACUGCUGGUCAGUCUGGGGCUGUACUGGUCAGUACUGGGCUGUACUGGUCUGUACUGGUCAGUACUGGUCACUCAGGGUCACUGCUGGUCACUGCUGGUCAGUCUGAGGCUGUACUGGGAUGUACUGGGCUGUACUGGGCACGCAGGGUCACUGCCGGUCACUGCUGGUCAGUCUGGGGCUGUACUGGUCAGUACUGGGCUGUACUGGUCACUCAGGGUCACUGCUGGUCAGUCUGGGUCUGUACUGGUCAGUUCUGGUCUGUACUGGUCUGUACUGGUCUGUACUGGCCAGUUCUGGUCAGUCUGGGUCUGUACUGGGCUGUACUGGGCUGUACUGGUCACUCAGGGUCACUGCUGGUCACUGCUGGGCUGUACUGGUCAGUUCUGGGGGCGCUGUUGGGCACUCAAGUGCUGCUGAUGACGUCAUCGCUGGCCGGGGCGAUCCUGGCUGUGAUUGGCUGCGUGGCGGCCACCAGGGCGCGCCCGAGGGCGGAGCCAAUGGUGAGUGACAGCAAAGGGGGCGUGGCUUAGAGCCAUUAAUGAGGGUGUGGGUUAUACAGCUCCCACUUCCUUAUAUGGGCAAAUGGGCGUGGCCUGCUCUGACCACGCCCCCUUCCUCUCCCCCACAGCCCGUGGUGAUUUAUCAGACAGCUCUGCCCGCCCAGGGGGCGGGGCCAGCGGAGGCCACGCCCCUCGAGGCGAAAUAAAGACCAAUCACAGCUGAGCGUGGAUUUGGCG
rnacentral:lncRNA from 1 species